rnacentral:rRNA from 1 species
AGAACGAACGCUGGCGGCAUGCCUAAUACAUGCAAGUCGAACGAACUCUUCGGAGUUAGUGGCGCACGGGUGCGUAACGCGUGGGAAUCUGCCCCUUGGUUCGGAAUAACAGUUGGAAACGACUGCUAAUACCGGAUGAUGACGAAAGUCCAAAGAUUUAUCGCCAAGGGAUGAGCCCGCGUAGGAUUAGCUAGUUGGUGAGGUAAAGGCUCACCAAGGCAACGAUCCUUAGCUGGUCUGAGAGGAUGAUCAGCCACACUGGGACUGAGACACGGCCCAGACUCCUACGGGAGGCAGCAGUAGGGAAUAUUGGACAAUGGGCAAAGCCUGAUCCAGCAAUGCCGCGUGAGUGAUGAAGGCCUUAGGUUGUAAAGCUCUUUUACCGAGAUGAUAAUGACAGUAUCGGAGAAUAAGCCCCGGCUAACUCCGUGCCAGCAGCCG